rnacentral:rRNA from 1 species
AUGUCUGGCUGGUUUCAAGAGAAGUCCGGGGAGGUGGUGGACGUGACCCAAGUUAAGGCCGGCGAGGCCAAGAAGAUGGCGUCCGAGACGGGGCAAUCCAUCCAGGACCGUGCCGUCGAGGCAAAAGACCAGACCGGCAGCUUCCUUGGCGAGAAGAGCGCGGCUGUCACGAAGGCUGCCUCCGAGACUACUGAGGCGGCCAAAAAGAUGGGUGGCGAGGCCAUGGGGAAGGCGUCCGAGACAGUGGAAGCCGGGAAGGAUCGCGCCGUCGAGGGCAAAGACCAGACGGGCGGCUUCCUCAGCGAGAAGACUGAGGCUGUCAAGAAGACGGCCACCGAGACCACCGACGCCGCCAAGGAGAAGUCUACCGAGGCCGCGCAGUAUGUCCAAGACACCGCUGCACAGUACACCAAGGAUCCCCCGGUCGCCCCCAAGGAAAACGUCUUCCAGCAGGCUGGCGGGAAUAUGAUGGGUGCCGCGACGGGUGCCAAGGAUGCUGUGAUGAACACACUCGGGAUGGGAGGAGACAAAUAA